UCAUCGGUGGUUCAGUGGUAGAAUGCUCUCCUGCCACGCGGGCGGCCCGGGUUCGAGUCCCGGCCGAUGCA
rnacentral:tRNA from 1 species